rnacentral:rRNA from 1 species
AUUGAACGCUGGCGGCAGGCCUAACGCAUGCCAGUCGAGCGGAUGAAGGGAGCUUGCUCCUGGAUUCAGCGGCGGACGGGUGAGUAAUGCCUAGGAAUCUGCCUGGUAGUGGGGGAUAACGUCCGGAAACGGGCGCUAAUACCGCAUACGUCCUGAGGGAGAAAGUGGGGGAUCUUCGGACCUCACGCUAUCAGAUGAGCCUAGGUCGGAUUAGCUAGUUGGUGGGGUAAAGGCCUACCAAGGCGACGAUCCGUAACUGGUCUGAGAGGAUGAUCAGUCACACUGGAACUGAGACACGGUCCAGACUCCUACGGGAGGCAGCAGUGGGGAAUAUUGGACAAUGGGCGAAAGCCUGAUCCAGCCAUGCCGCGUGUGUGAAGAAGGUCUUCGGAUCGUAAAGCACUUUAAGUUGGGAGGAAGGGCAGUAAGUUAAUACCUUGCUGUUUUGACGUUACCAACAGAAUAAGCACCGGCUAACUUCGUG